rnacentral:rRNA from 1 species
AUGCUGGCGGCGUGCCUAACACAUGCAAGUCGAGCGGCAGCGAGUUUUACACUGAAUUCUGGAAGCUUCUGGGUAAUAUAGAAGAUCUAUUCAAGAAUUUUGUGUAAAAUGUCGGCGAGCGGCGGACGGCUGAGUAACGCGUAGGAAUUUGCCCCAAAGUGAGGAAUAACUGCCCGAAAGGGUAGCUAAUGCCGCAUAUGGUCUUCGGAUUAAAGCCUUCGGGCGCUUUGGGAAAAGCCUGCGUUGGAUUAGGUAGUUGGUAGGGUAAUGGCCUACCAAGCCGACGAUCCAUAGCUGGUCUGAGAGGAUGAUCAGCCAGACUGGAACUGAGACACGGUCCAGACUCCUACGGGAGGCAGCAGUGAGGAAUCUUCCACAAUGGGCGAAAGCCUGAUGGAGCAACGCCGCGUGAAGGAUGAAGGCCUUCGGGUUGUAAACUUCUUUUAUGAGUGAAGAAUAUGACGGUAACUCAUGAAUAAGCACCGGCUAACUACGUGCCAGCAGCCGCGGUCAUACGUAGGGUGCAAGCAUUAUCCGGAGUGACUGGGCGUAAAGAGUUGCGUAGGCGGUUUAAUAAGUGAAUAGUGAAACCUGGUGGCUCAACCAUACAGACUAUUAUUCAAACUGUUAAACUCGAGAAUGGUAGAGGUAACUGGAAUUUCUAGUGUAGGAGUGAAAUCCGUAGAUAUUAGAAGGAACACCGAUGGCGUAGGCAGGUUACUGGGCCAUUUCUGACGCUAAGGCACGAAAGCGUGGGGAGCGAACCCGAUUAGAUACCCGGGUAGUCCACGCCGUAAACGAUGGAUACUAGCUGUUGGAGGUAUCGACCCCUUCAGUAGCGAAGCUAACGCGUUAAGUAUCCCGCCUGUGGAGUACGGCCGCAAGGCUAAAACAUAAAGGAAUUGACGGG